AAGCAUGUUCACUUUGGAAAAUGGUGUAAGAUGCUAUUAAGGAUUCUUAGAAGUAAUAGAGUGUGAACAUAUCCAGUGUGCUGUGUGCGUGCUAACGGAAAAUUGGUGAUCAACUCGAGGAUUAUUGACAGUUAUGGUUUCCUCUUUAAAACAGAUCAUUUCAGUACCCAUUUGGUAUCUAUGUUGUUUUUUGUUUUUUCUUUUAGUUCAGUUGUCAAAGAAAAUUAUAUUAUUAUUUUUUCUUUUUGUUUCAUGAUGCCUAAAAAGUGAAAAAUAGGUUGCUGCAAGUGAAAAACACAGAAAGUGGCUUUUUUAUGUGUUUCAUCAAUAAUAUUUCAAGAUACAACUUUUUAGUAUUAGACAACAACAACCAAAAACAAAAAGCAUAAUUGAUACCAAACAGGUUUGUGUUUUCUGUUUUGUUUUGUCGCUUCUAGCUCCUUCCAAGGGGUUUGGUGAUCGGUGAAUUCUUUAUUCCCAUCGUUUUCGAUAAACUUUCAUUUUGUUUUUGGUUCAUUUGAAUAGGUUCAUUUGCAGGUUAUAAUUUUGAGGUCAUUGAUUCUUUUUGUUUCUUUUGAUAAUAAUUCACUGUGUGCAAGGCUUUGUGGGGAUACUGUAUGGAAAAAAAAUCUCUGUUUUUUUUUUCUAAGUAAAUUUAAAUUUUGAGAAAAGAACUUAAUUGCCACAGUUUCUUACUUGUUUACACUGCAAAAAUACAAGAAACUGAGUUUUAA
rnacentral:misc_RNA from 1 species